rnacentral:rRNA from 1 species
GAUGAACGCUGGCGGCGUGCCUAAUACAUGCAAGUCGAGCGAACAGACGAGGAGCUUGCUCCUCUGACGUUAGCGGCGGACGGGUGAGUAACACGUGGAUAACCUACCUAUAAGACUGGGAUAACUUCGGGAAACCGGAGCUAAUACCGGAUAACAUGUUGAACCGCAUGGUUCAACAGUGAAAGACGGUCUUGCUGUCACUUAUAGAUGGAUCCGCGCCGCAUUAGCUAGUUGGUAAGGUAACGGCUUACCAAGGCAACGAUGCGUAGCCGACCUGAGAGGGUGAUCGGCCACACUGGAACUGAGACACGGUCCAGACUCCUACGGGAGGCAGCAGUAGGGAAUCUUCCGCAAUGGGCGAAAGCCUGACGGAGCAACGCCGCGUGAGUGAAGAAGGUCUUCGGAGCGUAAAACUCUGUUAUUAGGGAAGAACAAAUGUGUAAGUAACUAUGCACGUCUUGACGGUACCUAAUCAGAAAGCCACGGCUAACUACGUG